AGAUUCGAACCUGCCGCAGGUUCGGGUCUCACGUAGUGAGACAACGGAGCCGCUUGCGGCGACGGCCCGAAGGGCGAGCAAAGCGAGUCAUCCUGCACGACCCACCA
rnacentral:sRNA from 4 species